rnacentral:rRNA from 1 species
CUUGUUCGGGUUGAGUGUCAAUGAUGUCAUACUUCCAAGAAAAGCUCGUACACCAUCAUUUAUUAUAAAACAUUCAAAAAACCUGUACCUGAAACCGACACAGGUAGGUUGGUAGAGAAUACCAAGGGGCGCAAGAGAACUCUCUCUAAGGAACUCGGCAAAUUGGCCCCGUAACUUCGGGAGAAGGGGCGGGUUCCUUCGUUUUGCGAAGGAACCUCACAGUAACCGGGCUCUGGCGACUGUUUACCAAAAACACAGGUCUCCGCAAAGUUGAAAAACAAUAUAUGGGGGGCUGACGCCUGCCCAGUGCCGGAAGGUGAAGGAAGUUGGUUAUUAAUUUAUUAAGAAGCUGACGACCAAAGCCCCGGUGAACGGCAGCUGUAACAUUGACAGUUCUAAGGUAGCGAAAUUCAUUGUCGAGUAAGUUUCGACCUGCACGAAAGGCGUAACGAUCAGAGCGCUGUCUCAGAGAGAGGCUUGGUGAAAUAGACUUGUCCGUGAAGAUGCGGACUAACAGCACUUGGACAGAAAGACCCUAUGAAGCUUGACUGUAUCCUGGAAUUGGGUUCGGGCUUUUCUUGCGCAGUCUAGGUGGGCGGCGUUGAAGGUUUCCUUCCGGGGAAAUUGGAGCCAUCAGAGAGAGACCACUCUGGAAAGGCUAGAAUCCUAAUAGUGAUCCUUUAUUCAGGACACUUGACGUUUUCAGGUGGGCAGUUUCUUUGGGGCGAAGACCUCAUAAAAGGUAACUGAGGCGCGCAAAGGUUCCCUCAGUCUGGACGGAAAUCAGACGUAAAAGAGUGUAAGGCAAAAGGGAGCUUGACUGCAAGACCUACAAGUCGAGCAGGGGCGAAAGCCGGCCUUAGUGAUCCGACGGUGCCGCGUGGAAGGGCCGUCGCUCAACGGAUAAAAGUUACUCUAGGGAUAACAGGCUGAUCUUCUCCAAGAGUUCAUAUCGACGAGAAGGUUUGGCACCUCGAUGUCGGCUCAUCACAUCCUGGGGCUGUAGUAGGUCCCAAGGGUUGGGCUGUUCGCCCAUUAAAGUGGUACGUGAGCUGGGUUCAAAACGUCGUAAGACAGUUUGGUCCAUAUCCGGUGUUGUCGUUAGAGCAUUGAGGGGACCCAUCCCUAGUACGAGAGGAUUGGGAUGGUCGUGCCAAUGGUGUAUCAGUUCUUUCUCCAGAAGGAAACGCUGAGUAGCUACGCACGGUUUUGAUAACCGCUGAAAGCAUCUAAGUGGGAAGCUUUCCUCAAGAUUAGUGCUCUCCAUUAUGCCGCAGCUAGACAAGCUGAUUGAUAGGUAUCAGGUGAAAGGUCUGUAAGGAUUUUAGCCGAGAUAUACUAAAGGCCAA